rnacentral:RNase_P_RNA from 1 species
UGAGCCAGCUGGGUAAACGCGAGGGCACCGAACUGCCCUGCUUAACGCAGGGAAAGCGGUCCUUCGAGGAAAGUCCGGACUCCAUAGAGCACGGUGGUUGCUAACAGCAACCCGGGGCAACCCGCGGGAAAGUGCAACAGAAAGCAGACCGCCCAGCGCGCUGGGUAAGGGUGAAACGGUGCGUUAAGAGCGCACCAGCACCGUCAGUGAUGGCGGUGGCUGGGUAAACCCCACCGGGAGCAAGGCAAAAGGGUCCGCCACGGCGCGGACCGGAUCAGGCGCUAGUAGGCUGCUCGUCGAAGCCUGGAGGUAGCUGCUGGAACCCACCGGCGACGGUGGGUCUAGAUGGAUGUUUACCGGCCCGCGCACUGUGUGCGGGUGUCACAGAAUCCGGCUUAUAGGCUGACUCAUUCG